GGACCCGUCGUCUAGCUUGGACUAGGACGCUGGCCUGCGGAGCCAGAGGUCGUGGGUUCAAGUCCCACCGGGUCCGCCA
rnacentral:tRNA from 2 species